rnacentral:rRNA from 1 species
CACGUAGGGGACGAGCGUUGUCCGGAUUCAUUGGGCGUAAAGCGCGCGUAGGCGGCUCGGAAAGUCGGUCGUGAAAUGCCGGGGCUCAACCCCGGGACUGCGUCCGAUACUCCCGAGCUGGAGGCAGGUAGGGGAGAUCGGAAUUCCUGGUGUAGCGGUGAAAUGCGUAGAUAUCUGGAGGAACACCGGUGGCGAAGGCGGCAUCCUGGACCGGCAUUGACGCUGAGGCGCGAAAGCCAGGGGAGCAAACGGG